rnacentral:lncRNA from 10 species
AUAGACUUUUGUUUGAGUAAUGUAAAAUAACUCGUGGAUAGUCUGACACUUUGCAAGAAAGCAUGUAACUCUGUUGUUCAGAUAUAACACCAGGAGGCCUUGGGAUUAUCUACCUAUCAGUGCUGAGAUGGAGAAAGAGUCAAAAGCAACCCUUCUUGCUCCAGCCACAGCAUGUUCCGAAGAGAUGAUUGGAAGAUGGAAGUGGAGGGUUAAAUAAUGAAAUGCAGCUAACAUUUCGGAAAGUUUCUAAAAGUUGUACAACAUGCCCUACAGCUACUCUUUAAAUCUCCAAAUCAAAUGAGUUUCAGGUGGAGCCUCUGGGAGGUGAUGAGGUCAUGAGAGUGGAGCCUCAUGAAUGGGAUGAGCACUCCUACAAAAAGGAUUCCAGAGAGCUCGCUUGCUCCUUCCACAGUGUGAGGACACAGAGGGAAGGCUCUGUCUAUGAAUGAGAAAGUGGGUCCCCACCAGACAUUGAAUCUGCCGCAUCUUGAUACUGGACUUCCAGUCUCCAGAACUGUGGGCAAUAAAUGUCUGUUGUUUAUUACCUGUCCAGUAUCUUUGGUAUUUUGCUAUAGCAACCCAAAUGGACUAAGAAAACACCAGAGGCCAUAC